AUUGAACGCUGGCGGCAGGCCUAACACAUGCAAGUCGAGCGAGCGGCGGACGGGUGAGGAAUGUCUGGGAAACUGCCUGAUGGGGGGGGAUAACUACUGGAAACGGUAGCUAAUACCGCAUACGAUCAGAUGUGUCCCGAUGGGAUUAGCUAGUAGGUGGGGUAACGGCCCACCUAGGGGACGAUCCCUAGCUGGUCUGAGAGGAUGACCAGCCACACUGGGACUGAGACACGGUCCAGACUCCUACGGGAGGCAGCAGUGGGGAAUUUUGCACAAUGGGCGAAACCCUGAUGCAGCCAUGCCGCGUGUGUGAAGAAGGCCUUCGGGUUGUAAAGCACUUUCAGCGGGGAGGCGUUACCCGCAGAAGAAGCACCGGCUAACUCCGUGCCAGCAGCCGCGGUAAUUC
rnacentral:rRNA from 1 species